rnacentral:rRNA from 1 species
GGUUAAGCGACUAAGCGUACACGGUGGAUGCCCUGGCAGUCAGAGGCGAUGAAGGACGUGCUAAUCUGCGAUAAGCGUCGGUAAGGUGAUAUGAACCGUUAUAACCGGCGAUUUCCGAAUGGGGAAACCCAGUGUGUUUCGACACACUAUCAUUAACUGAAUCCAUAGGUUAAUGAGGCGAACCGGGGGAACUGAAACAUCUAAGUACCCCGAGGAAAAGAAAUCAACCGAGAUUCCCCCAGUAGCGGCGAGCGAACGGGGAGCAGCCCAGAGCCUGAAUCAGUGUGUGUGUUAGUGGAAGCGUCUGGAAAGGCGCGCGAUACAGGGUGACAGCCCCGUACACAAAAAUGCACAUGCUGUGAGCUCGAUGAGUAGGGCGGGACACGUGGUAUCCUGUCUGAAUAUGGGGGGACCAUCCUCCAAGGCUAAAUACUCCUGACUGACCGAUAGUGAACCAGUACCGUGAGGGAAAGGCGAAAAGAACCCCGGCGAGGGGAGU